rnacentral:misc_RNA from 1 species
GAUGAAGAACGUAGCGAAAUGCGAUACGUAAUGUGAACUGCAGAAUUCAGUGAAUCAUCGAAUCUUUGAACGCAUAUUGCGCUCUCUGGUAUUCCGGAGAGCAUGCUUGUUUGAGUAUCAGUAAACACCUCAACUCCCUUUUCUUUUUUGAAAUUGGAGCUGGACUUGAGUGAUCCCAACGCUUUCUUCCAAGAAAGUGGCGGGUUGCUUGAAAUGCAGGUGCAGCUGAACUUUUCUCUGAGCUAUAAGCAUAUCUAUUUAGUCUGCCUAAAAAACAGAUUAUUACCUUUGCUGCAGCUAACAUAAAGGAGACUAGUUCUUGUGCUGACUGAUGCAGGAUUCACAGAGACAGCUUCGGCUGACUUUGUAAACUCGAUCUCAAAUCAAGUAAGACUACCCGCUGAACUUAAGCAUAUCAAUAAGCGGAGGA